rnacentral:misc_RNA from 1 species
CAUUACAGAAAUCCCAAUUAAGCAAGAGCUCAGCACGACUGGGCGAGCAGACCAAUGAGUAGUCAUACUCGUUGAUCAAUAAUCCUCACAGCCUGACCAACUGUGGGGAAUGAGCGUGUUUGCGUGACACGGCACGCAUUCACGGUGAAGAGAGAAAAAGCGAAAAAAAGAGCUACCCUAAAGCUCAUGAAAAUGGUUUGAUCGCGUAUCCCGGCGCUUUCUUCCAUAUAUAUAAAGCAUUGCACAAAUAAUGAGUUUUGAGCUGGGGCUCAUUAGUGCACAUUACGAUUGCAUGGUUGUGGCAACCGGUGAUCGUUAACUGCAGCUUUGUCUGCCUACGGUGGAGCGAUCCAGUUCUGCCUUUCGCCUGUGCCUGGUACAUUCGUGUACCUACGCACAGUUCUGGUUGUGACAGGGUGCCUACCCGUCUGAUGCUCUUUGUUAUGCUUGCCGUCUGUAGAUGGUCAGUCCAUAUCAGGAGUGACGGGAUGUGCUGUCAAAAUUGGCAGUGCUAGGCUUAAUGAGUGGUUCGACAUAACGAGCUACGGCUCAGCCACCGCCCUGUUUGCUGUUUGUUGCAACAAAAUCCCAUAUUACACUGUUCAAGUGGUUCAGAUCGGACAUUGCUCACCCAACCGGUUUGAAUCAUUGCCCGACAUGCACCUGGUCUCGUACUGGAAUGCAUGUGCAGUCGCCUGGCGGUGCCUUAUCCUGGGCUAGACUGAGUAACCAAGCGUCGCUCAUCCGAAUCCCUGGAUGUUCGAUGUGAGUACAACUCUGUGCGGUGGAUCACUCGGCUCGUGUGUCGAUGAAGAGCGCAGCCAACUGUGUGAAUUAAUGUGAACUGCAUACUGCUUUGAACAUCGACAUCUUGAACGCAUAUUGCGGCCAUGGGUUAGCCUGUGGCCACGCCUGUCCGAGGGUCGGCUUAUAAACUAUCGCGACGCCCAAAAAGUCGCGGCUUGGGUCUUGCCAGCUGGCGUCAUAUCCCCUAUUUGGUCUUGUGCCUUUGUGGGGUGCCAGAACUAUGGCGUUUCCCUAAUGUACCCGGACGCACCAUGUUACGGCUAAAAGCCUUGACGAGAUGUGUCGAUAGAGUCGUGGCUCAGUUAUAUAUUUUAUGUGCGCGCUCUACCGUCAUGUUUUGUCUAUGGUUGGCUUGCUGUGGGUGGUUGUGUACCGAUGCUGACUAAUGUAUGUGCCAUAUGGCUCAUCAUUU